AUUAGAUACCCGGGUAGUCCUAGCCGUAAACGAUACUCGCUAGGUGUCGGCCACGGUGCGACCGUUGUCGGUGCCGUAGGGAAGCCGUGAAGCGAGCCACCUGGGAAGUACGGCCGCAAGGCUGAAACUUAAAGGAAUUGGCGGGGGAGCACCACAACGGGUGGAGCUUGCGGUUUAAUUGGAUUCAAUGCCGGAAAUCUUACCGGGACCGACAGCAAUAUGAAGGCCAGGCUGAAGACUUUGCCGGAUUAGCUGAGAGGUGGUGCAUGGC
rnacentral:rRNA from 1 species